rnacentral:misc_RNA from 1 species
GAAAUGCGAUAAGUAAUGUGAAUUGCAGAAUUCAGUGAAUCAUCGAAUCUUUGAACGCAUCUUGCGCUCCUUGGUAUUCCUUGGAGCAUGCCUGUUUGAGUAUCAUGAAAUCUUCAAAGUAAAUCUUUUGUUAACUCAACUGGUUUCUACUUUGGUAUUGGAGGUCUUUGCAGCUUCACACCUGCUCCUCUUUGUUCAUUAGCUGGAUCUCAGUGUUAUGCUUGGUUCCACUCGGCGUGAUAAGUUAUCUAUCGCUGAGGACACUGUAAAAGGUGGCCAAGGUAAAUGCAGAUGAACCGCUUCUAAUAGUCCAUUGACUUGGACAAUACUUUUAUGAUCUGAUCUCAAAUCAGGUAGGACUACCCGCUGAACUUAAGC